ACGCUCGACACCUACGGGAUGCAGCAGUGGGGAAUAUUGCACAAUGGGGGAAACCCUGAUGCAGCGACGCCGCGUGGAGGAAGAAGGUCUUCGGAUUGUAAACUCCUGUUGUUGGGGAAAAAGAGGAUGGUACCCAACAAGGAAGUGACAGCUAACUACGUGCUAGCAGCCGCGGUAAUCUGGAGCGGGCUGGCAAGGC
rnacentral:rRNA from 1 species